CCUACGGGAGGCAGCAGUGAGGAAUAUUGGGCAAUGGGGGCAACCCUGACCCAGCCAUGCCGCGUGAGUGAAGAAGGUCUUCGGAUUGUAAAGCUCUUUCGGACGUGACGAUGAUGACGGUAGCGUCUAAAGAAGCACCGGCAAACUUCGUGCCAGCAGCCGCGGUAAUACGAAGGGUGCGAGCGUUGUUCGGAAUUACUGGGCGUAAAGGGAGUGUAGGCGGAUAUGUAAGAUAGCGGUGAAAUGCCGGGGCUCAACCCCUUCCCGCCAUUGAAACUGGCGUUCUUGAGUGGAAGAGAAGUAUGCGGAAUGCGUGGUGUAGCGGUGAAAUGCAUAGAUAUCACGCAGAACCCCGAUUGCGAAGGCAGCAUGCCGGCUUCCGACUGACGCUGAAGCACGAAAGCGUGGGGAUCGAACAGGAUUAGAUACCCCUGUAGUC
rnacentral:rRNA from 1 species